rnacentral:rRNA from 1 species
AGGAUUAACGCUGGCGGCGUGCCUAACACAUGCAAGUCGAACGAGGUAGCAAUACCUAGUGGCAGACGGGUGAGUAACGCGUGGUCAACCUACCGUUGAGUGGGGGAUAACUAGCCGAAAGGUUAGCUAAUACCGCAUACGAGUCCUGGGGGCAUCCCUCGGCCUUAAAAGGAGCAAUCCGCUCGAUGACGGGACCGCGUCCCAUUAGCUAGAUGGUGGGGUAACGGCCUACCAUGGCUCCGAUGGGUAGCUGGUUUGAGAGAGCGACCAGCCACACUGGGACUGAGAAACGGCCCAGACUCCUACGGGAGGCAGCAGUGAGGAAUUUUCCGCAAUGGGCGAAAGCCUGACGGAGCGACGCCGCGUGUGGGAAGAAGGCCUUCGGGUCGUAAACCACUGUCGAAGGGGACGAUAAUGACGGUACCCUUGGAGGAAGCCCCGGCUAACUACGUGCCAGCAGCCGC